rnacentral:lncRNA from 1 species
GGAACCUUAGUGCACCAGCCUGCCCUUUUUAGUUUAAACUAAAACCUAAGAGUAAUAAGGAACAAGGAGCAUGCAAUGUAUGUAGACAAAGUAGGUCUAAUCAUUAGACUCUAUAAUAAUCACUUCUUUUUUGAGAUAUAGACUCCAAAAUCUUGUCAGAAACAAGCAAGUGCUUCUUAUUUGCUUUUGUUAUCCUGCACAAGGAGAUAAUGAACAUCUCUAGGACAAUUAGCUCAAAUUUUGAUCUCAGAGGGAGAAGAAGGUGAUAAUGAUUUAUUAUGCUCCGGGAAUGAAGUUUGUUCAAAAUCAACACCACCACAAGCACACAUUUCUGUUACCCUCUUUUAGCUCCCCUGCCUGCCACCCUCACCCCCCCCCCCCUAGAUAUGUGAUGCCAAAACUUUAACUAGUUUUUGUUUGUUCUCAUAUAAACAGUUCACAGAUGGAUAAUUUGGAAGCCAAAAACACCAUAAAAAAUUGCUUGUUUUGGGUGGAUGGCAACUACAAAUGCUUGUUUGACUCAACAAAUGUUACAGAGGAGGAUUUUCAUUGUCUAGUAGGUGUUCUGUGUGUAAAGGGAAGAGGAAUCAGCUAACCAUUUGUUGAUUCACUGUAAAUUUUCUUGGCAGAUUUGGGCAAUUUUCUUAUGUAUGUUUGGAGUGCAUUGAGUCAUGCGACGAGAUGUAAAAAGUUUAUUAUUAAUCUGGCAAUUGCAGAGUUGGAAGCCAUAUGAGAAAGUAUGGAGAACACCCCGUGUCCAGUAUGUGGAGUAGCUGGUUGGGAAGAAAGAGAAGGUGCUUUGAAAGAAAGAGGAAGCAGAUAAUCUUUACCUUAUCAACAAAAAAAGAGAGUAAGCAGAUUGCAGCUGUUAAGCAUAACUGUAUAGAUAACUUAUUCUAAGGAAAGGACAAUUGAUGAACUGUCAGUUGAGCUAGAUUUUAUACUCUUUGAGAUGAAUGAUUGUUUUGUCAUUUGAAGACUAAAGUAGUUCUGUUAUUUUUCUUUUUGCAGUACCUACGGGGUACUUGCUUUGAUAAAAUUUACUUUACCUUGUCAAAAGAAAC